rnacentral:sRNA from 1 species
GUCUCUGCCCAUCAGUUCUUUUUCUGGUCAGAAUCUGAAUGUCCGAUGCAAUUGGUAUAAUGCAAACCAACUGCAAAGGUAUUUUGAAAGAGAAUGAUUUGAAUUCCAAAGAUUUAAAAGAGGCCCUUGGAAAAAAUUCAUGAAGGCUUCGAUAUAUUUACAGAAAUGGCCCUCUGCAAAAGUCAGAGGGGACGUAAGGAUGUCUAUUAUGCCAUCCUGCAGCCAUGCAGAGUGCCUACACUCCCCAAAACAGCACCUGAUAAUGUUACUUUGAGGACUGAUGCAGAGUGCAAAUAUAACCUCAAUUUUGAAAGUAUUAUUUUUAAUUGACACAUAAUUAUAAGCUCAGCUUUUAAAGACGAAACUUCAAAAUAAGGUCCUAUUCAACCUUUGUGCCACAAAAAACUGAAAUUUUGGUCCAUUUUCUUUAUAGAUUCACUUUGAGAGGCCUUUUUCAGGCAUAGUUACUCUCAACAAGAACCUCCUAUAAAUUACAUUGUCACAAGAAGUCUCUCAUUUUUGCCAUAAUUGCCCCAUCAUGGCAUAAUGCAGGUAUUUCAGCUGCCAACACACCAGGCCAAACUGCCUUGUUGGAGUGCUGUGUUUCUAGACCCUUUGGUUUGUCUGCAGAGGAAUCUAUCUUUAGUGGCCUCUUCCACAAUAUUUUGUAUGAGCACUGGUCUGUUUUCUCAGCCCCCACUGUGGGAUGCAGCUGCCUCCUAUGCCCCUCCUUCCCUUAGGAUGCGGAAGGGAGAGCUGUUUGACUAUCUCACAGAGAAGGUGGCCCUCUCUGAAAAGGAAACCAGGUCCAUCAUGCGGUCUCUGCUGGAAGCAGUGAGCUUUCUCCAUGCCAACAACAUUGUGCAUCGAGAUCUGAAGCCCGAGAAUAUUCUCCUAGAUGACAAUAUGCAGAUCCGACUUUCAGAUUUCGGGUUCUCCUGCCACUUGGAACCUGGCGAGAAGCUUCGAGAGUUGUGUGGGACCCCAGGGUAUCUAGCGCCAGAGAUCCUUAAAUGCUCCAUGGAUGAAACCCACCCAGGCUAUGGCAAGGAGGUCGACCUUCUCUUUCCCAGCUGGGCCUGUGGGGUGAUCUUGUUUACACUCCUGGCUGGCUCGCCACCCUUCUGGCACCGGCG